ACUCCUACGGGAGGCAGCAGUAGGGAAUCUUCCGCAAUGGACGAAAGUCUGACGGAGCAACGCCGCGUGAGUGAUGAAGGUUUUCGGAUCGUAAAGCUCUGUUGUUAGGGAAGAACAAGUGCAAGAGUAACUGCUUGCACCUUGACGGUACCUAACCAGAAAGCCACGGCUAACUACGUGCCAGCAGCCGCGGUAAUAMGUAGGUGGCAAGCGUUGUCCGGAAUUAUUGGGCGUAAAGGGCUCGCAGGCGGUUUCUUAAGUCUGAUGUGAAAGCCCCCGGCUCAWCCGGGGAGGGUCAUUGGAAACUGGGAAACUUGAGUGCAGAAGAGGAGAGUGGAAUUCCMCGUGUAGCGGUGAAAUGCGUAGAGAUGUGGAGGAACACCAGUGGCGAAGGCGACUCUCUGGUCUGUAACUGACGCUGAGGAGCGAAAGCGUGGGGAGCGAACAGGAUUAGAUACCCUGGUAGUCCACGCCGUAAACGAUGAGUGCUAAGUGUUAGGGGGUUUCCGCCCCUUAGUGCUGCAGCUAACGCAUUAAGCACUCCGCCUGGGGAGUACGGUCGCAAGACUGAAACUCAAAUGAAUUGACGG
rnacentral:rRNA from 1 species